rnacentral:lncRNA from 1 species
CAUGUACGGGGCUGAUGUCUUCAGAUGCUUUUCCUUUUCCAACUUGAAGAAAAGUCCUGGCUGUAAGGACUUUAAACUUUUCUCUCUAACACCGAGUGAUCCCUCCUUCUGUCACAAUAGUACCUGCACACUUUGUGUUGGUGGCCUUGGGGAGAAUGGAGGAUGUGCGAGAAGGGAAGAGAAGUGUUUCAGUACACACAGAUUCCUGGGCAACCAUGAUGUACCCAUGUACUUGUGAAAAUGUGCAAUAUGUACCGCUUAUGGUACAUGAGAUAAUUUUAGAUGCAAUAUAGAAAUAACAUUAAUUGCAUAAAGAGGUGUAAAUAACUAAACUGAAUCUGCUGAGAAGCAUACUGUUUUGCUAUCCUACCCUUUCUUCUUUUUCCUGUCUGAUACUUGGAUGUGAUAUUGGCAACUCUAACAGCGGCUUUGUGGCCAUAGGCAAGAUUGAAGAUGGAGGCCUUCUGUGGAGGAUAGCAGUGUAGAAAGACAAUAGCACUUAAUUUGAUGAUGAGCAUCUACUUCUAGCCUCCGUCUGUCUAUAUUACUGGAUUUUUUUUCACAUGUGAGAAAAACAUGUCUUUAAUUUGUUUAAGCCUCUAUUAUCUUUUAGGGAUUUGUCACCCGCCGACGAACACAAUUCCUAAUUGAAACAGAGACAUCUUUCACUAUUUAGAACUGUGAUGUGCAUGUAGACAAAAGGUAAUCAUUAAUCACUAUGGUAAUUGAUGGGAAAAACUGCC